rnacentral:rRNA from 1 species
CCUGGCUCAGGAUGAACGCUGGCGGUCUGCUUAACACAUGCAAGUCGAACGCAACCUUCGGGUUGAGUGGCGGACGGGUGAGUAACGCGUGAGAAUCUGCCUUGGGGUCGGGGACAACCACUGGAAACGGUGGCUAAUACCGGAUAAGCCUUUGGGUAAAAGAUUUAUUGCCCCAAGAGGAGCUCGCGUCUGAUUAGCUAGUUGGUGAGGUAAAAGCUCACCAAGGCAGCGAUCAGUAGCUGGUCUGAGAGGACGAUCAGCCACACUGGGACUGAGACACGGCCCAGACUCCUACGGGAGGCAGCAGUGGGGAAUUUUCCGCAAUGGGCGAAAGCCUGACGGAGCAAGACCGCGUGAGGGAGGAAGGCUCUUGGGUUGUAAACCUCUUUUCUCAGGGAAGAAGCUCUGACGGUACCUGAGGAAUCAGCCUCGGCUAACUCCGUGCCAGCAGCCGCGGUAAUACGGAGGAGGCAAGCGUUAUCCGGAAUUAUUGGGCGUAAAGCGUCCGCAGGUGGCGAUUCAAGUCUGCUGUCAAAGCACGGGGCUUAACUCCGUUAAGGCAGUGGAAACUGAAUAGCUAGAGUGCCGUAGGGGUAGAGGGAAUUCCCGGUGUAGCGGUGAAAUGCGUAGAGAUCGGGAAGAACAUCGGUGGCGAAAGCGCUCUACUGGACGGCAACUGACACUCAGGGACGAAAGCUAGGGGAGCGAAUGGGAUUAGAUACCCCAGUAGUCCUAGCUGUAAACGAUGGAUACUAGGUGUAGCUUGUAUCGACCCGAGCUGUGCCGAAGCUAACGCGUUAAGCAUCCCGCCUGGGGAGUACGCACGCAAGUGUGAAACUCANAGGAAUCGACGGGGGCCCGCACA